rnacentral:rRNA from 1 species
CCGUUUGAUCCUGACGGUAGUCAUAUGCUUGUCUCUGAGACUAAGCCAUGCAAGUCUAAGUAGAAGCUUUUUUUAAUAGUUAAACUGCAUAUGGCUCAUUAAACCAGUUAUAAUUGACUUGAUAAAAUAAUUUAUAAUUUAAAUGGAUAACCCUAGUAAUUCCAGGGCUAAUACAUGCAAUUUUUACUUUUAAAUUUUAUAUUUAAAAGUGUACUUAUUUGAUGAAAAAAAAAAAAAAAAAUAAUUUAAUAAAUAAAUUAAAAAAAAAAUUAUAAAAAUCAAAAAAUUUUUUGAUGAAUUAAAAUAAUUAAACUAAUCACAAAUUUAUUUGUGAUGAUACAAACAAGUUUCUGACCUAUCAACUGUCGAUGGUAAAAUAUUAGUUUACCAUGGUAUUAACGGGUGACGGAGAAUUAGGGUUUGAUUCCGGAGAGGGAGCCUGAGAAAUGGCUACUACUUCCAAGGAAGGCAGCAGGCGCGCAAAUUACCCAAUCUCAAUUCGAGGAGGUAGUGACAAGAAAUAUCGAUAUAGGACCCUUUUAAAAGGAACUAUGUUCGGAAUGAAUACGAUUUAAAAACACUAAUAAGGAACAAUUGGAGGGCAAGUCUGGUGCCAGCAGCCGCGGUAAUUCCAGCUCCAAUAGCGUAUGUUAAAGUUGCUGCAGUUAAAAAGCUCGUAGUUGAGGAUGGGCUUUUAAGAUUUCAAUAUAAUAUUAUCUUUUUUUUUUAUUUUUUUUAUAUUUACUAUAAAAAAAUAAAAAAAAUAUAUAGAUAAGUAUUGUAAAACUUAUAUGUUCUUCUUUAUAUGUGAAAAUAAUUUUUUAAAAAAAUAUUUAUUUUUUUAAAAAAGUUUCCAUAUAUUUUACUUUGAAAAAAUUAGAGUGUUUAAAGCAGGUUAUUUUUCCAAAUUUAUCGGAUUACAUGAUUAACAGGGAUAGUUGGGGUCCUUCGUACUGAAUUGUGAGAGGUGAAAUUCUAAGAUCGAUUUAAGACGUCCUAAUGCGAAAGCAUUGGACAAGGAUGUCUUCAUUAAUCAAGAACGAAAGUUGGGGGAUCGAAGAUGAUCAGAU